rnacentral:rRNA from 1 species
UACGUAGGGUGCAAGCGUUUGUCCGGAAUUAUUGGGCGUAAAGAGCUCGUAGGCGGUUUGUCACGUCUGCUGUGAAAACUGGAGGCUCAACCUCCAGCCUGCAGUGGGUACGGGCAGACUAGAGUGCGGUAGGGGAGAUUGGAAUUCCUGGUGUAGCGGUGGAAUGCGCAGAUAUCAGGAGGAACACCGAUGGCGAAGGCAGGUCUCUGGGCAUUAACUGACGCUGAGGAGCGAAAGCAUGGGGAGCGAACAGG